UACGAAGGGAGCUAGCGUUGUUCGGAAUCACUGGGCGUAAAGCGCACGUAGGCGGAUGUGUCAGUCGGGGGUGAAAUCCCGGAGCUCAACUUCGGAACUGCCUUUGAUACAGCACAUCUGGAGUCCGGAAGAGGUGGGUGGAAUUCCUAGUGUAGAGGUGAAAUUCGUAGAUAUUAGGAAGAACACCGGUGGCGAAGGCGGCCCACUGGUCCGGUACUGACGCUGAGGUGCGAAAGCGUGGGGAGCAAACAGG
rnacentral:rRNA from 1 species